GAUCAUGGCUCAGAACGAACGCUGGCGGCAGGCUUAACACAUGCAAGUUGAACGGGAUUGUUAAGUAGCUUGCUAUUUAACAAGAGAGUAGCGCACUGGUGAGUAACACGUGGGAACGUACCUUUUGGUGGGGGACAACAUCUGGAAACGGAUGCUAAUACCGCAUAAGACCUGAGGGUGAAAGAUUUAUCGCCGAAAGAACGGCCCGCGGAAGAUUAGGCAGUUGGUGGGGUAAAGGCCUACCAAACCUACGAUCUAUAG
rnacentral:rRNA from 1 species